rnacentral:rRNA from 1 species
UGCAGUCGAGCGGAACGAUGAUAGCUUGCUAUCAGGCGUCGAGCGGCGGACGGGUGAGCAGGCUUAGGAAUCUACCGAGUAGUGGGGGAUAGCCCAGAGAAAUUUGGAUUAAUACCGCAUACGCCCUACGGGGGAAAGCAGGGGAUCUUCGGACCUUGCGCUAUUUGAUGAGCCUGAGUGAGAUUAGCUAGUUGGUGGGGUAAAGGCCUACCAAGGCGACGAUCUCUAGCUGGUCUGAGAGGAUGAUCAGCCACACUGGGACUGAGACACGGCCCAGACUCCUACGGGAGGCAGCAGUGGGGAAUAUUGCACAAUGGGCGCAAGCCUGAUGCAGCCAUGCCGCGUGUGUGAAGAAGGCUUUCGGGUUGUAAAGCACUUUCAGCAGCGAGGAAAGGUUAUGUAUUAAUACUGCAUAGCUGUGACGUUAACUGCAGAAGAAGCACCGGCUAACUUAGUGCCAGCAGCCGCGGUAAUACUAAAGGUGCAAGCGUUAAUCGGAAUUACUGGGCGUAAAGCGCGCGUAGGUGGUUUGUUAAGCGGAAUGUGAAAGCCCAGGGCUCAACCUUGGAACUGCAUUGCGAACUGGCAGACUAGAGUAUGGUAGAGGUCAGUGGAAUUUCCUGUGUAGCGGUAAAAUGCGUAGAGAUGUGAAGGAACACCAGUGGCGAAGGCGACUGACUGGACCAAUACUGACACUGAGGUGCGAAAGCGUGGGGAGCGAACAGGAUUAGAUACCCUGGUAGUCCACGCCGUAAACGAUGUCUACUAGCCGUUGGGUGACUUGAUCACUUAGUGGCGCAGCUAACGCGAUAAGUAGACCGCCUGGGGAGUACGGUCGCAAGAUUAAAACUCAAAUGAAUUGACGGGGGCCCGCACAAGCGGUGG